rnacentral:rRNA from 1 species
AUUGAACGCUGGCGGCAUGCCUUACACAUGCAAGUCGAACGGCAGCACGGGAGCAAUCCUGGUGGCGAGUGGCGAACGGGUGAGUAAUAUAUCGGAACGUGCCCAGUCGUGGGGAUAACGUAGCGAAAGCUACGCUAAUACCGCAUACGAUCUAUGGAUGAAAGCGGGGGAUCGCAAGACCUCGCGCGAUUGGAGCGGCCGAUAUCAGAUUAGGUAGUUGGUGAGGUAAAGGCUCACCAAGCCGACGAUCUGUAGCUGGUCUGAGAGGACGACCAGCCACACUGGGACUGAGACACGGCCCAGACUCCUACGGGAGGCAGCAGUGGGGAAUUUUGGACAAUGGGCGCAAGCCUGAUCCAGCAAUGCCGCGUGCAGGAUGAAGGCCUCGGUUGUAACUAGCUUUGUAUGACGAACGGUAGAGCGUCUAA